GUUGUAGAAUUGUAAUCUAUAGAGUAGCUCGGAAAGUGGAGACUUAUCAUAAGGUCCUUGGAAUAGGACGCCAGAGAAGGUGAUAGCCCUGUCUUAGGAUAAGUCGAGACAAUACGAGAUGCUCUAAGAGUCGGGUAGUUUGGGAAUGCUGCCCUAAUUGGGAGAUAAACUUCUCCUAAGGCUAAAUAUUUAUAGAAGACCGAUAGCAUACAAGUACUGCGAAGGAAAGAUGAAAAGAACUUUUGAAAAAGAGGGUUAAAAGACUUGAAAUCGUUGAAAAGGAAGCAGUAAAAGAGAAAUUAUUCACCAAGUAGUUGGAAAUUAUUCUAAGUUAGGAGGUGGAGAGUAUCUAACAGAGCUCUUGCCAUCUAAUGAAAAAUAAGUGACUUUACUUGAGUGAUAGACAAAAUGAUAUUGAAUUGCAAGAAUAAGGUGAAGGAUGUAUUUCCUAGCUCGAAGUUGCAAAUCAGUAUGAGGGAU
rnacentral:rRNA from 1 species